CAAGGCGAUGAGCUGUCGAAGCUGACAAGAGUGCUGGUUAGGUGGGACCGUCAACGUCUCUCCCGCCCGCCGGUCGAGAGCAAAUGGCUGCCAUCUAAGGAGAAGUGGCGCCGAAGAAAAAGAACCCGAGUUAACGUCGUUGCGCUCCCAAGUCCCCAUGGCAUUUGAGAGAGCGAGACACCACCUGUGAGGGGAAGCCUAUGCUUAGCCCUGGCGUUUACACAUUUUGGAGGCAGCUGAUUCUGGAAUAAUUUCCGUUAUUCCCCAUCGCUCUUGGCGACAGAUCCUCUUGGGCAGAGUGAAACUUAAUGGAGAUAUAGAAUAUGAUGGCAGAUGUGGGAUCCAAGAAGUGCUAUUAAAACAAAUAUAAAAAUAAGUAUAUAUUAAAGUGUCAUGAGGAAAUUUGCAUAUUGCAAGGUGGUCCUGGCCACUUCAUUGGUUUGGGUCCUUUUGGAUAUGUUUAUGUUACUUUACUUCAGUGAAUGCAAUAAAUGUGAUGAAAAAAAAGAGCGGGGACUUCCACCAGGAGAUGUUCCAGAAUCAGUGCAAAAACCUCAUGAAGGUCCAGGAGAAAUGGGGAAACCUGUUGCCAUUGCUAAGGAAGACCAAGAGAAAAUGAAGGAAAUGUUUAAAAUCAACCAGUUUAAUUUAAUGGCCAGUGAAAUUAUUGCACUCAACAGAUCUUUACCUGAUGUUAGGCUGGAAGGCUGUAAGACAAAAAUGUAUCCUGAUAAUCUUCCUACAACAAGUGUUGUAAUUGUUUUUCAUAAUGAAGCUUGGAGUACUCUCUUGAGAACUGUUCAUAGUGUAAUAAACAGAUCACCAAGAUAUAUGCUGGAAGAAAUUAUCCUGGUAGAUGAUGCUAGUGAAAGAGACUUCUUGAAGAGACCAUUGGAGAACUAUGUGAAAAAAUUACGAAUACCAGUGUAUGUGAUUCGAAUGGAGCAGCGUUCUGGACUCAUCAGAGCCAGAUUGAAAGGAGCUGCUGCCUCUAAAGGCCAAGUCAUUACCUUUUUAGAUGCUCAUUGUGAAUGCACUGUAGGUUGGCUUGAGCCUUUGUUAGCACGGAUUAAAGCUAAUAGGAAAACUGUAGUUUGUCCUAUCAUUGAUGUAAUCAGUGAUGACACAUUUGAAUACAUGGCAGGCUCUGAUAUGACUUAUGGAGGAUUCAACUGGAAGUUAAAUUUCCGAUGGUAUCCUGUUCCUCAGAGAGAAAUGGAUAGAAGGAAAGGUGAUCGGACUCUUCCAGUUAGGACACCUACAAUGGCAGGAGGCCUCUUUUCCAUAGACAGAGAUUAUUUUCAAGAAAUUGGAACAUAUGAUGCUGGAAUGGAUAUAUGGGGAGGAGAAAACCUAGAGAUUUCAUUCAGAAUUUGGCAAUGUGGAGGAACUUUGGAAAUAGUGACAUGUUCACAUGUGGGACAUGUUUUUCGAAAAGCCACUCCUUACACUUUUCCAGGAGGCACUGGACAGAUUAUUAAUAAAAAUAAUAGGCGACUUGCAGAAGUUUGGAUGGAUGAAUUCAAAAAUUUUUUUUACAUAAUUUCUCCAGGGGUUACAAAGGUGGAUUAUGGAGACAUUUCUUCACGACUUGGACUAAGACAGAAGCUACAGUGCAAACCUUUUUCCUGGUAUUUAGAGAAUGUUUAUCCUGAUUCCCAAAUACCACGACACUAUUUCUCUUUGGGAGAGAUAAGAAAUGCAGAAACAAAUCAGUGUCUAGAUAAUAUGGCACGAAAAGAAAAUGAAAAAGUUGGAAUUUUUAAUUGCCAUGGAAUGGGUGGUAAUCAGGUUUUCUCAUACACAGCUAACAAGGAGAUCCGAACAGAUGAUUUGUGCUUAGAUGUCUCCAAACUUCAUGGUCCAGUCACAAUGCUCAAAUGCCAUCACUUAAAAGGCAAUCAGCUUUGGGAGUAUGAUCCAGUGAACCACCUUGCUGUAGCUGGAACAACUCCGUGAUAGGACCUCUGCUUCUGACGUUCGGUUGUUGCAGGACAUUAAGAAGCUGAUGGCGGCUACCCAGUUCUCGGCAGACGCCACAUUGGAUGCAAUAUGUCAGAGGUUCGGUCGGCCAACAGUGGACAUCUUCACCACCCUGUCGAACGCCCAGGUCCGGGACUUCAUCUCUCGAUUCCUGACUCGAGGACCAGUGGAUGUCGACGCCCUGUGUUGCAGAUGGCUGGCGGACCACCACUACGCUUUCCCCCCUCUCUCCCUCCUUCCUGGGGUUCUGAGGAAGUUAGUGCUAGAGAGGGCGGAAGUGAUUCUGGUAGCGCCCUAUUGGCCCCAGCGACUCUGGUUCACAGACCUGGAUCCAGAUCAGUGCACAGAUCAGUGCUUCUCCACUGGAGGAUUCCACAGGGGUAAGUGGCUCUGCGCCAGGGGAGCCUGGUCCAUCAGGAGCCAGAGUGGCUUCAGUUGAACGUUUGGCGCUUGAACAGGAGCAACUGAGAGCGGGCCAUUUUUCAACCAGAGUGAUCAAGACCAUUGAGGCUUCCAGGAGGCAAUCUACCACACACAUUUAUGAUGCGACCUCGGCCUCCUUUGUGGCUUGGUGUCGGUCCACGCAGGUGGAUCCAGCGUCAGCUUCGGUACCACAGAUACUGGAGUUUCUCCAGGAUGGCCUGGAGAAAGGCCUAACCCACAAUACCUCAGAGACAGGUUUCGGCCCUGGCCACAGCCCUUGGAGGUGUGGGUUCUCGAUCCCUAGCACACCACCCAGUCAUUAAGCUGUUUCUCAGAGGGGCAGCUAAUCUCAGGACCCCUGUGGUACACCAGUUCCCCACAUGGGACCUUCCCACAGUACUUCAGGCACGAUGGAUGCUCUCUUUGAGCCUUUGAGAACAAUGAAUCUUCAGUUCAUAACCCUUAAGGUUGUAUUUCUGGUGGCGAUUACCUCCGCCAGACGUAUUUCCAAACUCAACACACUGUCUUCCAGGGCAAAUCUGUACACAUUUUAUGACAAAAGAAUCGUCCUCGAGCUUGACCCAUCCUUCUUGCCCAAGGUUAACACUCUUUUCCAUAGGGGAAAGGGAACGGUCCUGGCAUUGCCUGGAUAUGUGGAGGGCACUCCUAUCUAUCUGAAACGCAUUUCUCCACUCAGGAGGUCGGAGGCUCCUUUCAGCCCUCUACCCUUCGUUUCCUUUCAGCCCUCUACCCUAGGAGCAAAGGUAUCACCUGCUACCAUAGGCAAAUGGAUUCGGCUGGCCAUCACUUGGGUAUAUGAGGCAUGCAGGCUACUGGUGCCGCUGCAUCAUGGCACACUCCACCAGGAGUGCAGCCACGUCUGCGGCCUGGUCUACUCAGGUGCCCAUUGGGGAUAUCUGUAGGGCUGCCAUCUGGGCUACGCCCUCGCCUUUCAUCAGGCAUUACAGGCUGGAUGCUUAUGCUUCCACUGAGGCCUCUUUUGGUAGGAGGAUACUUCAGGGAGUGCUAGACACUUGGGGGGCUCAGGCCAAAUGAUUCCCUCCCAUGGACAGCUAGUUUUGGUAUGUCCCAUCAGUGAUUCCUCCCACAGGUCACUUUGGAGAAUGUCAGUUAGUCUUACCUGAACUGCAUUUCUCAAAGGUCCUAUGGGAUGAGUCACUUCCCACCGUGUAAUGCACUGGCUAGCGCAGAGGGUCCUGAACUUGGUUAGUGGCUUUGGUCAGUCAGGGACUGUGGGGUUUGGUGUUCUCUUCCCUAUCCCCUUCCUUCCCAUGUCCUGAUUUUGGACUUUGACCUUCGAUUAAUCUGGAGAGCCAGGAAGAGGAAGUAGAGAGGAGUGGCCUCAAAUUUAACCUCAGUCUCUGGGCAGAUUGGAUGUGAGAAUACCCAUCAGUGACUCAUCUCACAGGACCUUUGAGAAAUGCAGUUCAGGUAAGACCAACUGACAUUCUAUAUAUGUGAAUUUUUUUCCUGCCUUACUUUUCAGCACUGAAUUGCAUCUUGAAUAGGUCCCAGUGCUCAAAUCUUUCAAAUCUGAAUCUUCAACCUACCUUCCAAAAUGUUAACCACUCCCUCCAGCUUGUUGUCUGCAGAUUUGAUGAGCUCUCCUUCUAUUCCUCAUCUAGAUCAUUUAUGAAGAUAUUGAAGAGCACUCGGCCGAAGGCAGAACUUCAGUCUAUGUAGUUGUAGUUUUGCUGAGAGCUAUAUGUGGAAUGCAGUUGCAGUCAAUUGUGAAAGCAUUUGGUGGUGGUAGUGUCUAUUAUAUAUUGUUCUGUCUUACCAAGGAGUAGGCUGUGGUCUACUUUGCCCAAUGCCUUACUGAAGUCCAAGUGUACUAUAUUCACAGCAUUUUCUUUGUUUGUUAAUUUAGUCAUUAUCAAAGAGGUUAUCCCAAAGUCUUGCCAUCUUCUUCCAAUAGUGGAUCUAAUGAGUUAACGGGAUCUAAGAAGCUUGUUUUAUGUCUGUGAUGGUCAACUUAUGGUAUGUGUGCCAGAGGUGGAACCCUCUCUGUGGGCACGUGCAUGAUUGCCAGCUGCUCUUCGCGGGCACCAGAGCACUGGAAAAUGGCCUGAAAACAGCCCAAAAAACAGUCUGAAAAUGGCCAAAAAACUGGCAUACGUGUGCAACCUAGUUGGUCCGGGUUUCCGGUGCUCUGGUGCACACACAUGCAAUGCAUGUUUCAGUUUGGGCACUUGGUGCUGAAAAGUUUCUCCAUCAUUGUCCUAUGCUAUAUAGAAUUAAAGAUCUUAUACGCAGCACUAAUUGAACACCUGACAAUUGCAGGAGACUACCAGCAAAUUGUGAAAGUUUUGUUUCAGCAACACUAGUACCUCUCAUUCACUUAUUCAUUCAAGUGUUACAUAUCAAAGACCCUUCUUAUCCAUGGCUAGGUGAUACCAAAUAGUAUGAUAGCACUUGUACUAUUCUUUUUUAGAUGAAUCCUAAGGGAAUGGAAGGUAACAUUUCAAACUUGUAUUUCUUCUAGCUCUCUUUUAUAAACAAUGUUGAAUUUUAUCAGCUUGAUUGCUGACUUACCCAACAUUACACAUUUGUUAUAUUGAUAGAGAUUCUCAGUCAUCCAGGUCAUAGUUGUCUCAAAGUUGUUUUUUCAAAAGGCAACUGGACUGUUUUUUUCCUUGAAGAAGAAGAACACAAUGUUUUGCUUAUCAUCCAAGAAACUUCAUCAGUUUUGAUGGCAGUGUGGGAGGAUAGGUAAUGACAAUUGAGACUGAAUGGUGGGGGAUGGAAGGAUAGUUCUGACCAGAUGGUGGGGUGGGGGAAAAGGAAGGAUUGUAUUUCUUUGCAGUCAUCUGGUCAUUAACACUCCCUGAGAGCUCUAGAGGACACUUGGGAGUUUAUCAUUUAUUAUGAACAUUCAUCAAUAUCUGAUAGUUGUCCAUCUUGUCAACAUUCCAUGAUAAUUCCAUAAAUAAGGGAAAACAAGCUUGAUAGAAAAAUGUUUUCAAUUCUCCAUUGCUUCACAAUGUCUAACCAUAAGAGACUGUAUUGUGUUUAAUGGUAUCUUAAUUAUUUGAUCUUAUUUAGUAAUGUUGGGUUAACACAUUUUCUCUCUGUCUCUCUCUCUCUCCUCCCCCCUCUUUCUCUCCCUCUCCUUCUUUCAUUCUCCACACAUGCAAUAAAGAAAUUAAUCCUGUUGCAUGUGAACAGUAACCAAUGUCUGGAUAAAGCUACUGAAGAAGACAGCCAAGUGCCCAGUAUCAAGGACUGUAAUGGU